AUGCCGUCGUGGAAGGAUGGAGAGGAGAGCAGCGAUGAGGAGGAGCUGCUCGGCAUGGAUCUGGAGCAGCACUGGGCGAACCCUGGCACCACUAUAGAUGCAUCCUUCUGUGGUAGAGUUGUAGAUGCAAGCAUCACAUGUAGACUGCACUUGGCCCCAUGCAUGAAAUAUGUUGCAUUUGAAGGAAGGGACACUGGGAGGAGGUUCUAUGGAUGUGUUGUUCCUCAGGAUGGUAUUGACUGUGGAGUUGCUCAGUGGGUUGAUGCCCCAUGGCCUUCUAUUCUGCAAAGAUGUUUGGAGAAGAUAUGGGAGAUGUUUCAUGAGGAGAAUUGUGGCAGAGUGAUUGACCAUGCUAAGUAUAAGAAAGAGUUGGACAAGGUGAACAAGCAGUUGGAUACACUUGGGGAUCAGUACAGUCAGCUGGUUGAGGAAGUCACCAAGAUGUUUGAUUGGGCAGAUCAGAACAACAGGGUCAUGAGUGAUGAAGAGUUCAAGCAGAAGCAGAUGGAUGUGGACAAGGACAUGGAGAAGCUAGCUAUCAGUAAGGAGAAGGAUAGUGCUGACUUUGGCAAGAUGAAGCAGAUGGAGAAGCUGGCUCAGGAGCUGAAGGAGAUGAAGUGCAUUCUUAGGUCUCAGGGGGAGAUCAUUAGGAACAGAAUGAAGGAGAGGGAUGAGAUGAAGAAAGAGAGGGACUGGCUGAUAGAGGAGAAGAAGAAGCUGGAGUUUCUAGUGGGUGAUCUUAUGAAAGCUGGUCAUGGCAACAAGGACAAGCUUGCCAAGAUCAAGUCAAUCCUUGAUGAGUGA
rnacentral:rRNA from 1 species